UAUUUAAUUUAGACAAAAGAAAGAUUCUCUGACUGACAAAGUUUAUUCUGAUAGAAAUGGGUAGACAACACGCAGGCAAUCUGUUGUUGUGACAGGAAAAACUUGGUUUGAGACUGCUCCAUGAUCAAACGUAAAUGGAGUUGCUUGACAAUUGACUAUCCCUGCGUUUUGUCUAGGCAGUUGCAGACUCAAUGGCAAUCGCAAAGCAAGGCGAUAUAAUCUGGCAUUCGGUGGCUACAUCCUAGUAGAUUCUAAUUUAAGGAUAAUCUAGAUCCGGUCUAUGUCGGCUCUCCAACGUGAAAUUUGCAGUCAGAAGUGGUGGUGGACGUGUCUUGCCAACAAAAUGGAACGUGUAUGUCCGUCGCAAUUCUACAGCUUUUACCGUCAGUAUCACAAUCAUAAAAUCAAGAAAACGUCCAUCCGAAAUGUUUGACUCGGCCUUGACAGCUGAGAGACACUCGACAGUCGCCUAUAUAAAGUAGCCAGUUGUGGAACAGCAUUGGUGUCCAGUGUUGAAGAACUAACAUUUUGACCGUUGAAGGAGAAGCAGCAUCCGUCGGAUGGAAGACGAAAUUGAGAUCGAUGGGCUCGAUUUAAAAUAAGCCCCUUACAUGUCGCUGAGGAAUAAGAGAUUGAUCAGUACCCUUGAAGGCCUUGAACGGAACGACGCAACCGAAAACGGAAUCAGCUGGUCGAUCUGACUUCGUCCGUCCUCCUUUAAGUGACGAGAUUUCAGCACUUUACCCUCUUCACAGUUCCACACAACAAAAUAACCGCCUCCCUGUAAUCAUCAAUUUGUUGCGGCUAACCGGAGAAUGGGAAGAAGAGGAAGAAUCAUCGAAAUUCCAAUGCAAAGAUGGCAUAGCAGCUCCCAUUCCUGGUUCAAUGGUGUUUUGCCUGGAUGCGUCGAUGGCAAUGUCGACGGCCUCGACAGAAUAAACGGCUUCUCUAAUCAUUUGGAGUUGACAACCCGUCGAAUACAGAGACAGCAGCACAUAAUACUGUUAAUUGGUGUUUUGCCGGAAUGCGGGAAAGGCGGUGUCGACGGACGAUGGACGCAUAGGAUAGCAGAACAAACGCCUUUCUGUGAUCGUCAAUUUGUUGCGUCUAACCGGAGAAAGCAUGGAGAUGUAGUGGAUAGGAUGGAGAGAGAAAAACCGUCGAAUUCAACUACAGAGACAGCAGCACAUAUUCCUGGUUUCCAUAUUUCCGUGACGACCUGUGGACAAGAAAUUGCUGCCACUCAAGUGGUUGACAUGGACAUCACUUGGGUUGUUAAUGUAAUUUAGGACAAUCUAUGAUUGAUUAGAGUCAGGUUUGCCCCUUGCCGGAUUUAAAUCAGGUUUACUUCUCUGCACUGUGCCAU